UAAUCCAUGUACUCAAACAGUACAGUGACUGAACUGCUGUGAAGAGAGAACUGAAGAUGAACACCGAGCCGAGCCGAGCCAGAUAAUGAACGAAAGAUUGACUCAUUCUUUGAGAUGAAGAGAUGAAGUUAUAUUUCUUGUGAUUAAGGUCAUUUACAGAAUAAUUACACAAUAAAUGUAUAUUAAAAUAAACAGUUACCUUUAUAUUUGAAAGAGGAGCUCCUCGCAAAGGUAUUAAAAAAAAUUAAUCCUUGCCUUGUAAAUACCAUGAUAUUUGAAUAAUAUGAUAAUCAUUCUGUAUGAUAUACAGUAUAUAUCCUAAUAUUAUUGAUACUGGCAGAUUACUUUUUUAAGGAACUGGUUUGUUUGACUAAAGAAAGAGUUCACUAAAAUUGAAUGUAUUCCUUUUUUUGUGCACUAUUAAUGUAAAGUUAAGUAAUUUUGUAUUUCUCUCAACAGUAAUAACUUCCAAAGAUCUACAGAAACAUGGAAAUAUUUGGGUUUGCACGAUUUCUGAUCUGGUCUGCACAUGCUUCUUUUUUGUGUACGAGGAUGGCCAGGUAGGAGAUGCUAACAUCAACACACAGGAUGUCCAGAUACAGAAAGAGAUUUUGCGGGUGACUGUGGGACAGUCAACCUAACUGACCCGUUUCAUCACUGUGACGCUUUGAGAAAGUUUACAAGGGAACAUAUGAACUGAAUAUGGUAAAGAUUUACCUUUUUUGAUGAUGCUAGCAUCCAGUCAAGUUUAUCUUUACGUUGAAACAAGGGAAACCCGUUUUGUAACUUUUUUGAUAAACAUUUUAUUAAUUUAUUUCUCAUUUAAUCUCUACAUCAUGUUCACUGCUUUAGAUUUUGUUUUUUACGUCAUGAGAAAAAAGUGACAAAUUAUCGUUGAAUUUAAAGCGGUUGAAAAGGUGUAAUUUCUAUUUUGCCCACUGGGGGUCUCUAUUGCUCUAUAACAGAAUUAAAAAUGGCAUAAAAAUAAUUUUGGUUUGAGUAUAUAAGCUUAUAAUUGUAUAAACCUGCCAUUUUAAAGUGUUUACAUCUACCAUUAUGGACAAUUUCGCAUUAUUAUGUACUGUUUGUUUACUAAUGCAGUCUAUCCAUCAGUUCAUUUUCAUGGGAAUGUUGCCAGUUACUUGUCAUGGAUCAUAACCUCUGAACAUGAAAUGUUAACAAGUUUAAGUGCUUGUUAGAAGGCACCAAACUUGAAGGCAUCGAGUUCUCGUUUACUUUUCAGAAGCUUCAACUGGAGAAGACUCCCAAUAAAAGACGCAUUACAGGUUAGAAAUGUAACAUAUGAUUGUGUCGAUGUCGAAAAACUAAUCUAAAGGAGGGUCAUGGUUUCAUACGGCCUAUAUUUGUAUGUCGGCAAUUAAUUUAGAGCAUGUUAUGAAUGAGUUACUUUGUAAAUGAUGCCAGAAUACUGGAUGUAUUGUGACCAAAUGAUCCCACAAUGACAGUAAAACUAAAGUGACCUGCAUUACGAAGACCUCUCAACAGCCCUAACAAUGAAAACAGGAUAUAAAGGGAUUAAACAGUGUCUUAAUUAAAAUCUAAACCUGCCAAAAUGUUUCUAUGAGUGGCUGGUGUAUAGGCUACCCUAGAAAUAUAAUUAAUUUUAUAUAAACAGAAGAUGUCAAUGGAAAGUCCCCAUAAUGGUGUUAAAUGCCUGUGCGCGCACAUGGGUCUAUUGUCAUUCUGUUAUCUGUCACGACCCCUACAAAAAUUAAUAGUGUGUUGAAUCCCGGAGUCCCAGAGGAGGUUUCGACUUCUCGGUUUAGCCAGCGGGUCUGUUCUCCUCUGAAGCAGAAACACGUAAUAAUUCAUAACAGUGCGCUACAUCCACAUGAGGCCCGCAUCUGCUCCAAGACCCCUACACUUCCUUCUCCCAUUUUACAUUAUAUUUUAAAUAAAU